AGUAAAGAACUUUGUGUCCGUGAGAAUUUAGUUUUAAAAGUUGAUUGGGUGGGCCGAAACCUGACAUUGUUCUUUCCCGUGUGGAUUGGAACCCAUCAUCAUUUGGAUAUCCCUUGUAUUCAUAAUCGGGACAUACUCUAACUCCAUACAUAAGGCCUUGGGAAGUUUAGGCUUUUCAGCAGUAAACCAAGAGACCAGUAAUAAAUCGUCCGUAAAUAGCUUGCUGAGGAUAUCCUUUUCCAGCGAUCCUGUCAUUUACAUAGCACAGACGUAUUGGAGUUUCUUUGUUGAAAUUAAUCAUUUAGGACUGCACCUACCGACGCAAUUAUGUAAGCAGUGAAUUAGCAGCAUCAUCGCGGGUCAAGCUAAACAGUAUUUAGAAAUCCGAUUCAAGGCAAAGCAAAGUACGUUAUAUCGGCACAAAUAGUAUCGAAAUUUCAUAUUCUUCAAACUGAACUUCCUAUAGAAUAAAUAAUUAAUUUACAGUGUACAUCUUUGACCUCGAUGACCCAGUUGAAAUACUUGUAAGGAACGUUGUGUAAGGAAAGUCGGUUACCGUGUUCCAACCCCUGAAGAUUAUUUUACGCACACUUAUAGUGUAGAAAAAUUGAAGAACCUGUCACAACUGAAGAGUUUGUUAGUUUUUUUGCUUUAACGCGCUAAUCUCAAGAACUACUGGUCCGAUUUGAAAAAAAUCUUUCAAUGUUAGAUAGCCCAUUUAUCGAGGAUGGUUAUAGCCUACUUUUUAUCUGGGUUCGUGCAGACAUUCUCACGGGAUACGGGUUAAACUACUGGCAGAAGCUAGUCUCAUAUAAAGUGGAUAUGUGGCAAACAGCUCAAAAAGGAAGAUAAACGAAUACAGCAGAAGGCCUCGUUAUAUGCAUCUAGUUGGCUCUCAAGUCACACAAUGACGCGUUAAUAAUUAGAAUGCGCUCCUAAAACCAACCAAUCAACGUCAGUUCACAGGUACUUCAGAAGAAGGAGUUAUACCCGUCCAUUCUAUCACUCUCUCUCUUCUUCUAAUGGAUGCGCAAUAUAUUUGAGAGCGACCAUCGAAAUUCCAGCAACUAACUACAUAUCACGGAUAAAAUAAUAAAAGUGAAAAUAAAAACGUAAUUUAUUUAAUGUGUGCAAAGAGCUGCACCUGUUAGGUACUUCGAUAAAAUUACAGUUACUGUCGUCAAACCGAAACAAAAUAAAACUAAUUACGAAGAAAGGACUCAAAAGUAAAGAAAAAAAAACACGCUUACACGUCAUGUUCUCCACUGCCACACUAUCUAUGUACAUGUUUUCGAAAAAUAAUUACGUAGCGAAACGUUAAAAAAAGAAAUAUUAUGUACGACGAGAUGGUCAGGUAUCAGAAACUUCGCUCAGUGGAUUCACCGGACAUUGACCAAGUUCCACAAGUUUACCAUUCCAUUCUCUAUUGAUACUUGUUGUUAUGAAUAUCGAAUUCACUGCUACUGCCCAAACAAUCGCCUUGUUAUAAUAGAAUGUUAUGUAAACAUCGUCGCUGGCACCGACCAUUUCUCAUAACAUGAGCCACAAUAAGAUUUUUGUUCUGUCUGUACAUACUUAUUACCUUCUCACAAGUGGAUAGUUAACUGCACAACCGGGAAUACAAUAAACUCUCAAGAAUCGAACUAAUUUAUUUGGACGUUAUUUUAAUCUUAUUUUUACCGUUUCGUACUUCCGACUGAAAUAGUGUGUAUUUUUUGAGUGAGAAUUUAAAUUGAAUUAAAGAAAAACCUAAUUGUGCCUCGUUUGUAGGUAUUGUUUGUUGGAAAUCAACCUUAAUGUUUAAACAUGACGCAUAUAUGGAACUCAAUUUGCGUGGAAUUAAUAAAAUUUGCAUUGUUUCAAAAUUAAUUGUGAAAGAAACAUAUCAAGGAGUGAACACGGAAUCUAGACGUAAUAAAGAUAAACUGAAAGAUUGCAUAAUCCCCUUAAGAUAAAAGCUGAAAUGGCGUAAUUUAAAAUGGGUAACAUUGGAGUUAUUGAAACGAGGGCAAUCGAUAGUUUGUGACGAUAUGUGGACUAGAUAGUGAAAUGAAUAGAUAUUUUUUAUGUUGAGCGGGUGACCGUGUCAUUAGGGGUGGGAGGCGUCCUUGAAUUCGUUGUCAGGGUCUACGUGAAUACCUAUAUGCAUCGGUAUGUCAUGCCUGCACCCGAUAUUGACGCCGAGGGGGAAAUAUGCCAUGGAAUGACAUCGUAAUGUUGCAAUGUUUGAAGAACUGUUGACGAAGUAAAGAACGUUGGUCGAUGAAGUAAAUACGCAAGAGUCGCUAAUUUCAAGAUGGCCGCUCAAGGAGGUAAUGUAUCGUCGAUAUCGAACCUUUUUAAAUUUUUAAACUUAUUAUUCCUAGAGUUGUAGAUUUUCUUAUUUUUAACUUUUUAUUUUAAAAAAGAAAUAAUUCAAUACCUUAUUUUUAAAACGAAUCUAAAGUUAAGAUUAGAAGUUACUUUCUUUUAUUAAAAUAACGGUUUCAGCUGCUAUUGAUGUCACUGUUGGCAUAUGUGUUGGCUAAAUACAUUUUGUUGAAAUUCUGUUUUGAUACCCACUUACAUGAGGUAACGUACAUUUUACAGGUAAGUGAAGUAAGUUUUUAGGAUCACUAGGAUUUGAUAAACAGCUGGUAAUUGAAGUAUUAUUAAGCAUAUUUCUUUAUAUAAACCUGCCUAACCUUUUGCCAUGCUUGCGUCGGCUUCCACUCUAACCAGAUGCAGCUGUGUACCAGUGUCUUCAUGGAGCGACUACUUCUCUGACCUCAAACCAGUUACCUAAGGAACCCAACUAUUACCCCUCGGUGGGCGUGGUUGUCAUACUUUCUGGCAUGACAAGAUUGUCACCCAUCCAUGGACCGACUGAACCAAGUGUUGCUUAACCUUAUGAUCGAUGGAGCCGUGCAGCUGUAACUUAGCCACAAGCUCCAAUUAAAAUACUAAUUGUGUACUGAUAGAAUAAUAAAUAGGGUUAAUUCACUCCAACUAUGAUUGAAAGUAAAUUAUUACCUGACAAUUAUCAACGAUCAAACAUAAGCAAGUAUCGUAUUUAUGUUGCCUUGGAAUUUUAAUGGAAUAAUAUUAUUAAGAUAUCAAAUAAAUUACGUGAAGAGAAACAAGUUUUUACUUUCAUUUGUCACUGUCAUCUUGACACAUUUGUACUUCUUAAAUAAAUAGAUAUUGGACUAUA